GGCGAGGGAUAAGCUAUCCAUCACACCGGCCUUCUGGGUUUUGACUUUGAACAAAACUAAUUGAGGCAUGUGAAAAAUUAAUAUAUCACGUGGCUUCAAUGAACUGGGAUGAGCAUUGGGUGGACGCCGAGUGCGAUGACGCGCAUCCAAGUAUGAUCCAACUGGAUUAGAAUAUUAUAUUCUUGUGCGGUAUCCAUUCUUAUUAUGCAUGUGGCUUCUCGUCAAAUCAAUAGUAUAGUAAUUGUUCUUCUCAAUGCAUAGCAUAUGCACAUUAGUACA
rnacentral:lncRNA from 1 species